GCUAUGGCUAGCUCAGUCGGUGCAGCAGGAAACUCUUAAUCUCAGGGUUGUGGAUUCAAGCUCCAUAUUGGGCA